UCAUUUGAGAGCACACAAGUUCCCAUGUGAAUUGCGUUGGUGUUUAAGGAUCUGUUCAUCAGCAAACUUCUUGCUAUUUCAUAUGCACUGACAAAAAUUUCUGUGGAUCUGAAUAGAAUUGGGUUGCACCAAAAGUCAUGCAAAACAAAAAGAGAAAAAAGGGGGCAUUUCUCAAAUAAUUUGCCGCGAAUUUGUAAAAGGAAAAACACAAGUAACAGAAACACCAGGGUACCUCAAGUCAGGUUCAUAUCUUGCCCUGUCGUACUUGGAUAAUUCAGUGUACAGUUUGUCCUCUUCAGGCCUUGGUGUGUAUUUGAGGAUAUGCUCAUCACAUGGUUCGUCAUCUUCAUGUGUUGGUUGUUCAGUGGUUUGUUCU
rnacentral:lncRNA from 1 species